rnacentral:rRNA from 1 species
AUAACUUAGUGGCGGACGGGUGAGUAACGCGUGGGGAACCUGCCUUGCACCGGGGGAUAACACUUAGAAAUAGGUGCUAAUACCGCAUAAGCGCACAGGGCCGCAUGGCCCGGUGUGAAAAACUCCGGUGGUGUAAGAUGGACCCGCGUCUGAUUAGCUUGUUGGCGGGGUAGGGGCCCACCAAGGCGACGAUCAGUAGCCGGCCUGAGAGGGUGGACGGCCACAUUGGGACUGAGACACGGCCCAAACUCCUACGGGAGGCAGCAG